rnacentral:rRNA from 1 species
UACGUAGGGCGCAAGCGUUGUCCGGAAUUAUUGGGCGUAAAGAGCUCGUAGGCGGCUUGUUAAGUCGAACGUGAAAUCCCUGGGCUCAACCCAGGAACUGCGUCCGAUACUGGCAGGCUUGAAUCCGGGAGAGGGAUGUGGAAUUCCAGGUGUAGCGGUGAAAUGCGUAGAUAUCUGGAGGAACAUCGGUGGCGAAGGCGGCAUCCUGGACCGGUAUUGACGCUGAGGCGCGAAAGCCAGGGGAGCAAACGGG